GGAAUAUUGCGCAAUGGACGAAAGUCUGACGCAGCAACGCCGCGUGCAGGAUGACGGCCCUCUGGGUUGUAAACUACUGUAGUGGGGGAAUAAUAUCCCGUUUUACGGGACUGAAGGUACCCCGAAAGUAAGCUCCGGCUAACUACGUGCCAGCAGCCGCGGUAAUACGUAGGGAGCAAGCGUUGUCCGGAUUUACUGGGUGUAAAGGGUGCGCAGGCGGACUAGUAAGUCAGGGGUGAAAUCUUACGGCUCAACCGUGAAAUUGCCUUUGAUACUGCUAGUCUUGAGUUCGGGAGAGGUUGAUGGAAUUCCAGGUGUAGCGGUGGAAUGCGUAGAUAUCUGGAAGAACACCAGUUGCGAAGGCGGUCAACUGGCCCGUAACUAACGCUCAGGCACGAAAGCGUGGGGAGCGAA
rnacentral:rRNA from 1 species